rnacentral:lncRNA from 1 species
GAGACAAACACUUUGGAAGAGUGUUCUCCUCCCCUACCCCCCAUGUCAUUGGCCUGAAACCACGGUAACCAUCUUUAGAACAUGACGGCAGCAAUGCUUCUGACAGGGUAGAUGGAAAGAAACUGAGACUUUAGUGCUUGGAACGGACUUCCCGCUGUGUUAGAGAAAAUACUUUCCUUACCUUUAAAAUUCAGUUGAGACAGGUUUGUAUUAUGUGCACCUGAAAGCAUCCAAUGAGUAUGAAGGCGAGUGCAGUAUGUGAGCCAUGAAGUCCCAUCGACUGUGUGGCAAUUGACAAAAGCUGUGCCCACGUAACUCUUCAGCACCAGCCCAUCUAUUACAAAGACAGAAAGUCAGGUUUAUGUGGGAAAACCCCUCAGGAUUCCAAGAAGACUUCAUAUCUAACAGGAAGAUGGAAGAAUUUUGUCCUAAGAGUCUCUGAAUUGUUUUUUUCACUAAUAUGUUCUAUGAAGUAACACCUUCAAUCUUUAUGAAGUAUUAAAAACUGAGGUCAUAUGAUAUCUUGAAA